GCUGGGAGUGGUGGUGCACCCCUGUAAUCCCAGUGGCUUGGAAGGCUGAGACAGGAGGAUUUCGAGUUCAAAGCCAGCCUCAGUAAUGGCAAAGCAUUAAGCAAGAUCCUGUCUGUA
rnacentral:sRNA from 1 species